AAUAUUGGACAAUGGGCGAAAGCCUGAUCCAGCCAUGCCGCGUGUGUGAAGAAGGUCUUCGGAUUGUAAAGCACUUUAAGUUGGGAGGAAGGGCAGUAAGUUAAUACCUUGCUGUUUUGACGUUACCGACAGAAUAAGCACCGGCUAACUUCGUGCCAGCCGCCGCGGUAAUACGAAGGGUGCAAGCGUUAAUCGGAAUUACUGGGCGUAAAGCGCGCGUAGGUGGUUCGUUAAGUUGGAUGUGAAAGCCCCGGGCUCAACCUGGGAACUGCGCUUGUGACUGGUCAGCUAGAGUACGGCAGAGGGGGGUGGAAUUCCCUGUGUAGCGGUGAAAUGCGUAGAUAUAGGAAGGAACAUCAGUGGCGAAGGCGACCACCUGGACUGAUACUGACACUGAGGUGCGAAAGCGUGGGGAGCAAACAGG
rnacentral:rRNA from 1 species